rnacentral:rRNA from 1 species
AUUGAACGCUGGCGGCAUGCUUUACACAUGCAAGUCGAGCGGCAGCGCGGGGGCAACCCUGGCGGCGAGCGGCGAACGGGUGAGUAAUGCAUCGGAACGUACCCUGGAGUGGGGGAUAACGCCGCGAAAGCGGCGCUAAUACCGCAUAUGCCCUGGGGAGGAAAGUGGGGGACCGCAAGGCCUCACGCCCUGGGAGCGGCCGAUGUCCGAUUAGCUAGUUGGUGGGGUAAAGGCUUACCAAGGCGACGAUCGGUAGCUGGUCUGAGAGGAUGAUCAGCCACACUGGGACUGAGACACGGCCCAGACUCCUACGGGAGGCAGCAGUGGGGAAUUUUGGACAAUGGGGGCAACCCUGAUCCAGCCAUGCCGCGUGAGUGAAGAAGGCCUUCGGGUUGUAAAGCUCUUUUGGUCGGGAAGAAAGCGCCUUGCCUAAUACGCGAGGUGGUUGACGGUACCGGCAGAAUAAGCACCGGCUAACUACGUGCCAGCCGCCGCGGUAA